ACCCCGGGAGGGGAGUGAAAUAGAUCCUGAAACCGCAUGCAUACAAAAAGUCGGAGCCGCAAGGUGACGGCGUACCUUUUGUAUAAUGGGUCAGCGAGUUACUUUGACGAGCAAGCCUAAGCCGUUAGGCGUAAGCGAAGCGAAAGCGAGUCUGAAUAGGGCGCCAUAGUUUGUCGGAUUAGACCCGAAACCGAGUGAUCUAGAUAUGAGCAGGUUGAAGGUGCAGUAACAUGCACUGGAGGACCGAACCCACUAAUGUUGAAAAAUUAGGGGAUGACUUGUGUCUAGGGGUGAAAGGCCAAUCAAACUCGGAAAUAGCUGGUUCUCCGCGAAAUCUAUUUAGGUAGAGCGUCGCACGAAUACUCUCGGGGGUAGAGCACUGGAUGGGCUAGGGGGCCUCACCGCUUACCAAACCUAACCAAACUCCGAAUACCGAGAAGUACUAUGCGGCAGACACACCACGGGUGCUAAGGUCCGUGGUGGAGAGGGAAAGAGCCCAGACCGCCAUCUAAGGUCCCCAAGUUAUGACUAAGUGGGAAAGGAAGUGGAAUGUCCAAAACAACCAGGAGGUUGGCUUAGAAGCAGCCAUCCUUUAAAG
rnacentral:rRNA from 1 species